CACGUAGGGCGCAAGCGUUGUCCGGAAUUAUUGGGCGUAAAGAGCUCGUAGGCGGUCUGUUGCGUCCGCUGUGAAAACUCGGGGCUUAACCCCCGAGCCUGCAGUGGAUACGGGCAGACUAGAGGUAGGUAGGGGAGAAUGGAAUUCCCGGUGUAGCGGUGAAAUGCGCAGAUAUCAGGAGGAACACCGGUGGCGAAGGCGGGUCUCUGGGCCGAUACUGACGCUGAGGAGCGAAAGCGUGGGGAGCAAACGGG
rnacentral:rRNA from 1 species